rnacentral:tRNA from 1 species
CCGUCGAUAGCUCAGUUGGUAGAGCGGUGGACUGUAGAAGUGAGAACUGUGGGAAUCCAUAGGUCGCUGGUUCAAAUCCGGCUCGACGGA